GACGAACGCUGGCGGCGUGCUUAACACAUGCAAGUCGAACGGGCUCUGUCUGGCUGUGCGCUGGGUGGGGUUAGUGGCGAACGGGUGAGUAAUACGUGAGUAACCUGCCCUCUUCUUUGGGAUAAGCCUUGGAAACGGGGUCUAAUACUGGAUAUUCCUGUCUGGUCGCAUGGCUGGGUGGGGAAAGUUUUUUCGGUGGGGGAUGGGCUCGCGGCCUAUCAGCUUGUUGGUGGGGUGAUGGCCUACCAAGGCGUCGACGGGUAGCCGGCCUGAGAGGGUGACCGGCCACACUGGGACUGAGAUACGGCCCAGACUCCUACGGGAGGCAGCAGUGGGGGAUAUUGCACAAUGGGCGCAAGCCUGAUGCAGCGACGCCGCGUGGGGGAUGACGGCUUUCGGGUUGUAAACCUCUUUCGUCGGGGGACAAGGCUCUGCUUGGU
rnacentral:rRNA from 1 species